rnacentral:rRNA from 1 species
UACGUAGGUGGCAAGCGUUGUCCGGAUUUACUGGGCGUAAAGAGCGCGCAGGCGGUCGAUUUAGUCGCGUGUGAAAGCCCCCGGCUCAACUGGGGAGGGUCACGCGAUACUGAUCGACUCGAAGGCAGGAGAGGGUAGUGGAAUUCCCGGUGUAGUGGUGAAAUGCGUAGAUAUCGGGAGGAACACCAGUGGCGAAGGCGACUACCUGGCCUGUUCUUGACGCUGAGGCGCGAAAGCCAGGGGAGCAAACGGG